AGGCAAUCUUCAUGGAACUUACACACCUUACUGAAGGAAUGCCAAUCUACAAGGGUGGUAAUUUUGAUUGAAAUUGGUAGUUCAUAAACCUCAGCCAAGGUGGCUGAACUUUGACCUUCAUUUUUUACAGGCUGCGAUGCUGAAACUUGGACCACUUGCAGCCCUCUUCACGUGUAACACGUCAAUAAAUUUUCAUUG
rnacentral:lncRNA from 1 species